AAGCCUGAUCCAGCAAAUGCCGCGUGUGUGAAGAAGGCCUUCGGGUUGUAAAGCACUUUUGUUAGGGAGGAAAGUCUGGUAGCUAAUAACUGCUAGAUCUGACGUUACCUAAAGAAUCAGCACCGGCUAACUCUGUGCCAGCAGCCGCGGUAAUACAGAGGGUGCAAGCGUUAAUCGGAAUUACUGGGCGUAAAGGGUCUGUAGGCGGAUUAUUAAGUCGGAUGUGAAAUCCCCGGGCUCAACCUGGGAACGGCAUUCGAUACUGGUAGUCUAGAGUGUGCAAGAGGAUGGGGGAAUUCCUGGUGUAGCAGUGAAAUGCGUAGAGAUCAGGAGGAACAUCAAUGGCGAAGGCACCUUUCUGGGGCAACAUUGACGCUGAGGGACGAAAGCGUGGGUAGCAAACAGGAUUAGAUACCCUGGUAGUCCACGCCCUAAACGAUGUCAACUAGCUGUUCGGCGUCACUCUGGUUGUGGGUGGUGCAGCUAACGCAAUAAGUUGACCGCCUGGGGAGUACGGCCGCAAGGUUGAAACUCAAAGAAAUUGACGGGGGCCCGCACAAGCGGUGGAGUAUGUGGUUUAAUUCGAUGCAACGCGAAGAACCUUACCCGGUCUUGACAUGGUAGGAAUCUUGUAGAGAUACGAGAGUGCCUUCGGGAACCUACACACAGGUGCUGCACGGCUGUCGUCAGCUCGUGUCGUGAGAUGUUGGGUUAAGUCCCGCAACGAGCGCAACCCUUGCCCUUAGUUACCAUCAUUAAGUUGGGGACUCUAAGGGGACUGCCGGUGAUAAACCGGAGGAAGGUGGGGACGACGUCAAGUCAUCAUGGCCCUUAUGACCGGGGCUACACACGUACUACAAUGGUCGGUACAGACGGUCGCAAGCUCGCGAGAGUAAGCUAAUCCGAGAAAACCGAUCGUAGUCCGGAUCGCAGUCUGCAACUCGACUGCGUGAAGUCGGAAUCGCUAGUAAUCGCAAAUCAGAAUGUUGCGGUGAAUACGUUCCCGGGCCUUGUACACACCGCCCGUCACACCAUGGGAGUUUGUUGCAAAAGAAGUAGGUAGCUUAACCGCAAGGAGGGCGCUUACCACUUUGUGGCCGAUGACUGGGGUGAAGUCGUAACAAGGUAACCAAGC
rnacentral:rRNA from 1 species